AAUAAGAUAAGCUAAUAAAGCUAGUGGGUUCAUACCCCAAAAAUGAAUAAAUUUCUCUUAUUA
rnacentral:tRNA from 1 species